rnacentral:rRNA from 1 species
AUUGAACGCUGGCGGCAUGCUUUACACAUGCAAGUCGAACGGUAACAGGCCGCAAGGUGCUGACGAGUGGCGAACGGGUGAGUAAUGCAUCGGAACGUGCCCAGUCGUGGGGGAUAACGCAGCGAAAGCUGCGCUAAUACCGCAUACGAUCUAUGGAUGAAAGCGGGGGCCCGUAAGGCCUCGCGCGAUUGGAGCGACCGAUGUCAGAUUAGGUAGUUGGUGGGGUAAAGGCUCACCAAGCCAACGAUCUGUAGCUGGUCUGAGAGGACGACCAGCCACACUGGGACUGAGACACGGCCCAGACUCCUACGGGAGGCAGCAGUGGGGAAUUUUGGACAAUGGGCGCAAGCCUGAUCCAGCAAUGCCGCGUGCAGGAAGAAGGCCUUCGGGUUGUAAACUGCUUUUGUACGGAACGAAACGGUCCUGGUUAAUACCCGGGGCUAAUGACGGUACCGUAAGAAUAAGCACCGGCUAACUACGUGCCAGCCGCCGCCGUAA